rnacentral:rRNA from 1 species
AUUGAACGCUGGCGGCAGGCCUAACACAUGCAAGUCGGACGAGUGGCGGACGGGUGAGUAAUGUCUGGGGAACUGCCUGAUGGAGGGGGAUAACUACUGGAAACGGUAGCUAAUACCGCAUACCAUCAGAUGUACCCAUAUGGGAUUAGCUAGUAGGUGGGGUAACGGCUUACCAAGGCGACGAUCCCUAGCUGGUCUGAGAGGAUGAUCAGCCACACUGGAACUGAGACACGGUCCAGACUCCUACGGGAGGCAGCAGUGGGGAAUAUUGCACAAUGGGCGCAAGCCUGAUGCAGCCAUGCCGCGUGUAUGAAGAAGGCCUUCGGGUUGUAAAGUACUUUCAGUGGGGAGGCGUUACCCGCAGAAGAAGCACCGGCUAACUCCGUGCCAGCAGCCGCGGUAAUAC